rnacentral:tRNA from 1 species
GGUUAGGUAGCCUAGCGGUUAAGGCAGCCCAUGUGAGUUGGGUCCAAGUACAGACACAGUACUUGGUUGCUAGUUCGAAUCCGGCUCUGACCA